GGGCCGUUAGCUCAGUUGGUAGAGCAGCUGACUCUUAAUCAGCGGGUCGCAGGUUCGAUCCCUGCACGGCCCA
rnacentral:tRNA from 1 species